rnacentral:lncRNA from 1 species
UUCGAACCUGAUUUGAAGCGAUGAAAGGGCUUGAUCUACUACUAUAUAUAAGAAGUAAGUAACUCGUAAGGAUUCUUCAGUUGAUUGAGUUGGCUCUUCACUUUCACUCUCAUCAAAUUGUUUCUUUCUACGAAUUAUGCAUUUUUCAACAAAUAUAGGCUCUAUUCCCAUUGCACUUGCAAUUUCUUUAGCUUCAAUCAAUGCCUCCCUAAAACCUUCUUCUCUGUACCUUUCAAGAUAAGUGAUAAGCCUUUUUAUUUGCUCCAUAGCAACAUCAA